rnacentral:rRNA from 1 species
UACGUAUGGCGCGAACGUUGUUCGGAAUCACUGGGCAUAAAGAGCACGUAGGCGGUUGAGCAAGUCCAUUGUGAAAUCCCCCGGCCUAACCGGGGAACUGCGUUGGAUACUACUUGACUUGAGUGCAGGAGGGGAGAGUGGAAUUCCUGGUGUAGCGGUGAAAUGCGCAGAUAUCAGGAAGAACACCCGUGGCGAAAGCGGCUCUCUGGAACGGUACUGACACUGAGGAGCGAAAGCGUGGGGAGCGAACAGG